AGUGAACGCUGGCGGUAGGCCUAACACAUGCAAGUCGAACGGCAGCACAGUAAGAGCUUGCUCUUACGGGUGGCGAGUGGCGGACGGGUGAGGAAUACAUCGGAAUCUACUUUUUCGUGGGGGAUAACGUAGGGAAACUUACGCUAAUACCGCAUACGACCUACGGGUGAAAGCAGGGGAUCUUCGGACCUUGCGCGAUUGAAUGAGCCGAUGUCGGAUUAGCUAGUUGGCGGGGUAAAGGCCCGCCAAGGCGACGAUCCGUAGCGGGUCUGAGAGGAUGAUCAGCCACACUGGAACUGAGACACGGUCCAGACUCCUACGGGAGGCAGCAGUGGGGAAUAUUGGACAAUGGGCGCAAGCCUGAUCCAGCCAUACCGCGUGGGUGAAGAAGGCCUUCGGGUUGUAAAGCCCUUUUGUUGGGAAAGAAAAGCAGCAGGUUAAUACCCCGCUGUUCUGACGGUACCCAAAGAAUAAGCACCGGCUAACUUCGUG
rnacentral:rRNA from 1 species